UAUCCCUUUGGGAAAAAGGAGGCGUGACAGCCAUGAAUGCCAAAAUUCUCUGCAACGGCUGUGUAUUUAAUACUGAGGAUUAUUCUUCAUUAAACGUCAUCUGGUGACAAAUAUUCUUUUGCUCUCGUUGGCUAUGUUCCCUUCGGGAUUUACCUGGCCAACUGAAAUUGUUGUCCUCGGUCUUGGUUUCCAUUUGUUUUAUCUUCCAUCUGCUCACUACCAGAAAAUGGGCCUAUGGGAACAGUUAUUUUGGAAUGGUUCACAAACCAUUGCCAUAGAUCAGAUAUAGUAAAGGUUGAAACCAUUACGAUAGAAUUUGGGUGCUAUCAGCACACUAUUGACAUCAAACCGUUGCAAAUAUAACAUUACCGUUGUCAUAGAGUUUUGUUUCGUAACGGAUUUGUGAACCGUCCCAAUAGACAUGUAUAUGGCAACGAUUUUGUGAAAAAAAUUGCUAUGGGAACGGUUAUUUAUUCCCCCUUGUUUUUUCCGCUGAAAAUUCACUGGCCCGCCAAGUUAAUUAAUUAAGUGACCUGUAUUUUAUAUUUUUUAACUAAUUUAAUACAAAAACCCCUCCGCCCAGAACUACUCCCCUCGUCGAUACCAGCAAACUCCCAUCGUGGAACACCCAAAAUCCCCUCCUUCUUCAUCGUUGAAUUACUCUCUGAUCUCUUUUCUUUUUGCAUCUUUGCCGAGUUUAAGAUUAAUGGCUGAGUUUCAUCAAAUAUCUCUUCAUUGGUCCUUGGACAAUGCGCUGAAGGCAUUACUUGUAGUUCAUACAUGAAUAUGCACGUAAAGCACUUUUACAGUCUCACCUUUGAUCAAACUUUGAAUUCUUAAUGCUAAGGUAUGCAGUAUAACAACAAACCGCUAGUCACAUAGUAUAUACUCCCUCCGUUUCAAUUUAUGUGAACUCAUUUGACUGGGCAUGGAGUUUAAUAAAUGAGGGAAGACUUUUGCCAUGUAAGCUAAAAAUGUGUCAAGUUACUAUAAUACCCUUAGGGCCCACUGAUUAAUAUUCAACGGAAAAUUCUUCUGCCGAAGAGAGAGUCAAACAAAUCAUCUGCUCACUGUACAUGGCAGCCUGUCAAUUACUGUGUCCAAAUCUCCCAAUUUUCUUUCAAUUACUAAUGCCCAUCAACCAUACACUAUACCAAAACUUAAACAAAUUGGAAACCCAAUUGAAUAGGAAGUCUUCCUUAAAUUUUCUCUCUGUCGAGAAGACCCAAGAUUCAAGUAGUUGAGAAUAUUUCCCGUUGAUUUCUCAAUAACCCAGGAAUAUUUACUUGUAUCAGUCAGCCAAGCUACAACAACUAAUUGAAUCUCGUAGCUCUUUCCUGUAGAAUUAGGUUCUUCAAGAUGUGCCUUUACAAUCACUUCAGUAUCAAAUGACUCCUACAACUAUUGAUGACUUAAUAAAUGCAGUUGAGAAAUCUUUUAAUGAGAUGGAAGUUCACCGACUGAAUCAUGUGUUUCUCGCUCUACCGUCUUGCAUGGUUGAGGCGCUGAAAGGUAAAGGUAGGAACAACUACAAAAUCCCACGUAUGAAAAAGGGUAGACUAGAACGAGAAGGAAAUAUUCCUAUUCAAGUUAGUUGUGACGUUGGCGUAGUCAAUGAAGCUGUAGCUCCACUUCAAAUGUGAUACAAAUGUCAAGGCUAUUUACAACUUUAUUGUAAAGGUUCUCUGUUUUGUAAACCUAACCAUCAUGUUGUUUUUGUAUAACCUCUCUUUUUGCAUAGACUUGUGUAUUUAAAGAAGUUAUGAACAUCAAGUUUGUAGUUUCUAUGGAAUCCUCUCUUGUAAAGGCUGUGUAUUUAAAGAAGCUCUGAACGUUUGAUAUGUAGGUUUUGUAUAGUUUCUUUAUUUGUAAAGUCUCAUAUUUUUUUGAGAAGCUGCAAAUGUUAAGUUUAUGUUUGUGGAAAGUCUCG